GCUCCAUUAGCUCAGUUGGUUAGAGCAUCGUGCUUAUAGUGGUGAUCACACUAUGAAAGAGCUACGCGGAUGUCGCCAGUUCGAUCCUGGCAUGGAGCA